rnacentral:rRNA from 1 species
GACGAACGCUGGCGGCGUGCUUAACACAUGCAAGUCGAACGGAAAGGCCCUGCUUUUGUGGGGUGCUCGAGUGGCGAACGGGUGAGUAACACGUGAGUAACCUGCCCUUGACUUUGGGAUAACUUCAGGAAACUGGGGCUAAUACCGGAUAGGAGCUCCUGCUGCAUGGUGGGGGUUGGAAAGUUUCGGCGGUUGGGGAUGGACUCGCGGCUUAUCAGCUUGUUGGUGGGGUAGUGGCUUACCAAGGCUUUGACGGGUAGCCGGCCUGAGAGGGUGACCGGCCACAUUGGGGCUGGGAUCCGGCCCAGCCCCCUCCGGGGGGCAGGAGGGGGGAUUUUUGCACAAGGGGCGGAAGCCGGAUGCAGCAACGCCGGGGGCGGGAUGACGGCCUUCGGGUUGUAACCCGCUUUCGCCUGUGACGAAGCGUGGGUGACGUUAAUGGGGAAAGAAGCCCCGGCUAACUACGU